rnacentral:rRNA from 2 species
GCGGGUAAAGGGGGCUAUACAUGCAGUCGAGCGAACUGAUUAGAAGCUUGCUUCUAUGACGUUAGCGGCGGACGGGUGAGUAACACGUGGGCAACCUGCCUGUAAGACUGGGAUAACUUCGGGAAACCGAAGCUAAUACCGGAUAGGAUCUUCUCCUUCAUGGGAGAUGAUUGAAAGAUGGUUUCGGCUAUCACUUACAGAUGGGCCCGCGGUGCAUUAGCUAGUUGGUGAGGUAACGGCUCACCAAGGCAACGAUGCAUAGCCGACCUGAGAGGGUGAUCGGCCACACUGGGACUGAGACACGGCCCAGACUCCUACGGGAGGCAGCAGUAGGGAAUCUUCCGCAAUGGACGAAAGUCUGACGGAGCAACGCCGCGUGAGUGAUGAAGGCUUUCGGGUCGUAAAACUCUGUUGUUAGGGAAGAACAAGUACGAGAGUAACUGCUUGUACCUUGACGGUACCUAACCAGAAAGCCACGGCUAACUACGUGCCAGCAGCCGGGGGUAAUACCA